GGGGGCGUCGCUGAUUGGCUGGUGGUAGCGCGCAUGCCUAUAGAAGGCCACAGGUUCCGCCCCCACGGGCAAUUGACCACAAGACUGCUGACCCAGAGUGCCUUGCGGGCGGUAGCCUGCGCGUCUAGUAUGGUUGAGUUCCCUGUUCUCUGCUGGUAUAAAUGACACAGAUGAAAGACUGGCCCUCUUGUUCCUUCCCACUGCCAUGAACUGUUCCUUUGAGCCGAGAUGCCUCUCCUUCCCCAUCACAGGCAGCACACAGCUGACUCCUACGUUCCUCAUUGGACCUCUGUUCUAAAGCAGGAACAAUUUUUUUUGAAGAUUUUUUUCUAAGAUUUUUACCCACCAGGAAUAAUGGCAACAAAUAUCAAGAACAAGAUUUACUGGGAUGCAGGUGAAGAUUAAAUAGCAAUCCUGUUCAACUGCCCAAUCUCCAUUUCCUCAUUUCCUUCCAUUUGCAGCAGAAGGCCCAUGCACUGCUUAUUCUAAGGUUCUCAAUACUUCAGCCUCUUCCUCCUUCUCAGUUUAUGUAAACUCAGUGCAAGUUUCCCAUAAGUGACAGCUAGAAAAUCUCCACUCAACAGUCACCUCAAAUGAAGGCUGAGGUGAGGUUUGCAUGCCCCAGUAAGUCAGGUCAGCCCAGAUACUGUUCCCUUUCUUCUUCAGCCCUUUCUGUUUAGAGCAUUGCAUGCCUACACCAAAUAAGGAUUCUUUGAUCCCUUUCUUUUUACCUCACAAACCUCCCUUAUACUCCUGAAGGAGUUGUGUGCAUGCCUGCAUGGAGAGAACUCCCAGCAAUUCAAAGGAAAUGUAAUUGAGAGAAACACAAGCACAAUGGGCACUGUCCACAGAACACUGGGAGACCUGAAGAUAAGACACUGUGGUGGUCACCUUUUAGAAAGGUUAUAAGAAAAAAUAUUGGAAACCCAUACAAAAUCAGUAUCAGAUGAGGAUUCUAGGUGGUUUUUUGGUUAGAAAUAGAGAUUUUUUGUUUUAGCUUGAUGUCUACAAGUUAAUCUACUGAGUUCCAGGUAAAAAAGAAUACUCAUAGUGUAUCCAGAAGGUAAAUGAAUAAAAAGCUAUUAUGUUUGUUGCCUGAAUAUUUUGAAAUAUGUUUGACAUAUCGACACCUGAGUUAUAUGCCAAAAGAAAUUAAAAUUUUCUUGUUGUAAAUUAAUGUCACUUACUAAAACAAUCAAAUAUUCACAUAUUAAAAAACAGUUUGAUCCCCACAUAAAAUAUGUAACACUUACCUGUUCAGCAAAAAAUGAGAAUACAGUAAACAUAAUCAAUGUUGCUAGUACACAAUGAGUCCAAAACUUCAAUUUGUCUCGAUAUGCUCUCCUAUUCAGAGAGAGAGAAAAAACAAAUAUGUUUGUCUUACAGUCUUUGGUUUCUGUGCAUAGUUUCACUGUAUUAGUUAUAUGCUAGUUUACCAAAAAGUCUUGAAACACAAAAUCACUGGAGGCAAUUUGAAAAUGUUAAUACAAUGUACGUUUCCAACACGAGUUCAGAUUUUUCAUUAUGUCAUGGUAAACAUUAUAUCUGAAUUGUAAAAGUUAUCCAGGCAGAAAAGAGGACUUCAAAAGAAAAUUACUUCUAGCAUUUAGAAUUUAGACAAAAGUACACUUUCAUUUACUUUUAUUUAUUCAUUCAUAUCCAUUUCUUCAUAGUCACUCAGUCAAUACUUCCUGUGGAUACAGACGGAUGAACAAGACGAAGUCCAUGCUCUAAAGUGUUUACCGACCUGGGGAGUCACUGACCUGCAGAUGAACAGCCAUCACACAAGAUGGACCCAAAAAUGUAUUAUCAAAAGCAAAGUCUUGGGGAAAACAGCAUAAUGAAGAAAGCACCUCAGGGAUGGUGACAUUUCAUUCAAGCCUUGAAGCAGAGAGGGAAAGCAUUUAGCUGAGUAAGGCUGUGAGCAUCAGCAGAGUCAGAUUAGCAAGCUGAGUCCUGCAGAAUGAAGGAAGUCAGGCCUAGGGGGCAUCAGGGAGAGAGCUAAGCCACGGCAAGGCAGGUGGGCAUUAACUGCAGGUGUUCUGGAAAACCAUGCAAUGGGGUUUGGACAUAAUACUCUAGUGGGAAAGCAUAUGAAAUGGCAGGUGUGUGUCUGUGUGUGUGAGAGAGAGAGACAAUCGGUGAAAAAGGUGGCCAUCUGAAGGAUGCAUGUCAGGUGACCAGAGGUAACCAGCCAGGCAGUCACAUUAGUCUGGGUAUAAAAACCUAGUGAAGGGCAGUGAGAAUGAAAGAAGCAACAGAAGAGACAAUCUGAGAGUAGAAGCAACUGGACUUGGAAAUAGGAUAUUGGGGAUAGAGGCAGUAAAGCACAGUUUCCUCAUCUGUAAUUUGGAAAUAAUUUAUUAUGAAGAUUAAACAUAUGCUUUUAACAUAGGUUUGUAAGAUAUAUUAAUGACUACCAAAUUUAGGCCUCUGCACUGAGUUCAGAACCUCAUUUACAGUUUGGCAGUGGAUGUCUCUACUUCAAGUCCCGUAUUGAUAAUGGUACAUCUGUUUUUCCUCCUGUAUUUCCUAUGUCUCUUAAUAGGAUCACAACCAAUGCAGUCAGUUCUAAUGUCUACAGUGUCAUUCAGAAUCAAUAUGUAAUUUAUUUAAAGAGCCAAGAAACCACAGACUGUAACACAACUAAAAAAUUGUCCCAGCAACCAGAGAACCUUAAAAGAGCUGGAGGUUUCCUCAGUCACUCACAUCCACCAAGCACCUACCAUGUGCUAGAGAGGCACUAUGGACUCAAAAAGAGUAAGACACCAUCUCUGCUCCUGAAGUGGGCUCACAGUUUACCAGGAGAGACAAGUGCACCUUAUAGACUGCUGUAUAGUGCAGAAAGUGCUGUACCCAAGGAACAAGAAGAAAGCCUAUCAGGAAACCAGAGAAAGGUAAUAGGGGACACAGGAGCACGAUGUCAUGAAAGGAAAGAGAAAAAGUAAAGUUUCUAGAAGGUAGGGUGGUGUUGGUGCUCAGCAGUGAGAGAUGAUCCAGAAGUGGAGCAGGAUGAGGAAAAUGAAGCCCCCAGAUCAGGGAAUUGAAAAAAGGUCCUACACCUGAUUUAUCUCAUUUGUAUAGCACAGAAAUCAAAGUCCUCUCAAACUACUCUUAAGCCCACUCCUUUCUCACUCAAUUAGGCCCUUGAAGAUAAAUUAAGUCACAAACUGGAUUUGGGGAAACCAUCCAGAAAUCUCUUUCCUUUGAGCUAAAGGAAAAUAAAAUGAGGAGAAACCAUUCCUAGAAGACAAGACCCACAAUUUAGUAAUAAUUUCUCAUUUCAAAAAUAAAAAUAUACAAAUAUUAGCAAUCUACAUGCUGUCUCACUUUCCCAACUCCAAGACACCAAAGCAUUCUAGUUGCCGAGAUUGCUAAUUUUCUCUCUACAAUCUGUCCCAAUUCUGUCUACUGCUUUCUCCUUAUUUCCUGAACUGUGUGUCCUUGCUUCACACCUUGACUGACUGUUUCAUAACUACUAAAAUGCUUAGUACUUGUAUCCCUGCCUCCAGUUUUUAGACAAUACUGCCUCACUCCAAACAACUUCCUCACCAGUCCAACCCCAUACUAUUAGUUAUCUUUCCAAAUCAUGAAGUCUGAUCACUACAAACAUCUACAAAAAUUUCUCUGGGGAGCCCCAUUCUCUAAAGAAAAAAAGCCUAAUUCAGAUUCAGCCCUUCACAAUCUCUCCCUUCUCUCCAAAGCACUCUAUUUUACACUUCUGUGCCUUGCACAUGCCAUUUCUUCUACCAGGAACAUGCUUUCCUACCCGGAAAUGUCCUUUUCAUAAUUCAAAACCAGGUCCAAAUGUCACCUUCCCCUAACAGAAUUAGCUACUCCCUCAUCCAAACUCCAGUAGCACCGAACCAUGCCACAGCACUUGGUAUCACAACUGUUUGCCUGCAGCCUGUCUCCCUGAAGGGACUGUGAAUGCCUCAUAGCCUGGUACCAUACUCCUUUCGUCUGUGUAUUCCUAGCCCUGCAUGGGGUAAAUAGUAGUAAAAUAAGACAUGAAGGAAACAUUUAUAAAAUAGCUUUGGAUUACAGUGGAACUGGAGGGUUGGAAAUCAGGCUGGAUUUACCACUUCUCAGCUACUUCACCUUGAGCAAAUCACUCAGCUUCUGUUACUAUGUUCUCCUCCCAUACAGCAGGUACUCAAGAAAUAGGGUAGCUAUUCUUAUGGCAGAGAAUGAGGCUCAGCAGAUGUGCUUGGCCAGUAAGCUCAAUAAAAACUUUUAAGUGUAUUUUUCCAAAGUAAUUAUAGAUCAAAUAAUA